rnacentral:lncRNA from 1 species
UCUUGACAUACAUUCAACCUUUUUAUAGCCUUUUACUCUCUCACCAGAUGUGGUCCAUCUCUUCACACUGCAAUGGGCCUCAUGUGAUUAAGUCAGUUUCUUAAACACCUCUUGGUCCAUCAAAAAACUAUAUUUUAAAAAUUGCUUUCCAAAGGAGACCACGUCUGCAGAAAACUUUUGGAUGCAACACAGCUGGUUCGCUUCAGGGGACACAUUCUCAGAAAUGGCUGGAUGAUUUCUGUGUGGGCUGGUUCCAGGAGAGCCCCAGUGAGGUGCUCCCUGGAUCAUCAACAUUAACAAGCUCCCUUUGCAGUCAUUUCCUCAGACAUCUGUGGUCUGCUUACUUCCUUUACCACCUUUUUUGAGUUUUCUGGAGUUACAAAUGCAUUUCAACAAUGAUCAAGUCAUGCUGCAACAGGCACAGAGAACAAAUAACUGCAAGAAGAAAUUGCUGAACUUGGGUCUGAAAUCCCAGCAUUAACAAAAAAGGUGAGAUCAAUAAUGUUCAAAUGGGCGAGCUGAUGACAAAUUUGAGAUAACUCCAUUGUGGAUUUCAUACCUGCUGUUUUAUCCUCAUUCUUCACAGAACACAUGACAAGUUGGUAUUAUGAAAAUCAUUAUAAAACAAUUACUUGCCAUUUCUAAUUAUGUAAUAUUUGGAAAAUGUCCAGAUGUAAAUGUGUCAUGCUUCUUUUUUUAACUUUUGGGCUGUAAAAUAAUUAAGAAAGAUGAAAUUGAAUUAAUGUAAUAAAACACUAUUUGACA